CUUCCUGCGUGGGGAGGCCUCCGGAAACGAAAGUUUUUCGGCUCCGGGGGUAGUAUGGUUGCAAAGCUGAAACUUAAAGGAAUUGACGGAAGGGCACCACCAGGAGUGGAGCUUGCGGCUUAAUUUGACUCAACACGGGAAAGCUCACCUGAGCAGUAUAUUGUUUGGAUUGACAGAUUGAUAGCUCUUUCAUGAUUCGGUUAAUGGUGGUGCAUGGCCGUUCUUAGUUCGUGGAUUGAUUUGUCUGCUUAAUUGCGAUAACGAACGAGACUCUGGCAUUUAAAUAGUUGCUCUGGCUCGCCAGAAGCAACUUCUUAGUUGGAUUGAUUAUGUUUAAUGAUAUGAAAGAGAGCAAUAACAGGUCUGUAAUGCCCUAAGAUACCCAGGGCCGCACGCGUGCUACAAUGUUAGUGGCAGCGUGAUUGUCCUUCUCUGAUAGGAGUUGGCAAACCGUUGAGUCAUUAUUAUGGUCGGAAUUGAGUAUUGGAAUUAUUACUCGUGAACAAGGAAUUCCAAGUAAGCGUGAGUCAUCAUCUCAUGCUG
rnacentral:rRNA from 1 species